UAGUCCACGCCGUAAACGAUGUCUACUAGCCGUUGGGAGACUUGAUUUCUUGGUGGCGCAGUUAACGCGAUAAGUAGACCGCCUGGGGAGUACGGCCGCAAGGUUAAAACUCAAAUGAAUUGACGGGGCCCGCACAAGCGGUGGAGCAUGUGGUUUAAUUCGAUGCAACGCGAAGAACCUUACCAGGCCUUGACAUCCUAGGAAUCCUGUAGAGAUACGGGAGUGCCUUCGGGAAUCUAGUGACAGGUGCUGCAUGGCUGUCGUCAGCUCGUGUCGUGAGAUGUUGGGUUAAGUCCCGUAACGAGCGCAACCCUUGUCCUUAGUUGCCAGCACGUCAUGGUGGGAACUCUAAGGAGACUGCCGGUGACAAACCGGGNGGAAGGUGGGGACGACGUCAAGUCAUCAUGCCCCUUAGUUCUGGGGCUACACACGUACUACAAUGCAACGGGACAGAGGGGCAGCCAACUAGCGAUAGUGAGCUAAUCCCAUAAACCGUU
rnacentral:rRNA from 1 species